rnacentral:rRNA from 1 species
GACGAACGCUGGCGGCGUGCCUAACACAUGCAAGUCGAACGGAGAUAUGAUUUCGGUUGUAUCUUAGUGGCGAACGGGUGAGUAACGCGUGAGCAACCUGACUCUUAGAGGGGGAUAACACCCGGAAACGAGUGCUAAUACCGCAUAAGACCACGACAUGGCAUCAUGACGAGGUCAAAGGAGCAAUCCGCUGAGAGAGGGGCUCGCGUCCCAUUAGAUAGAUGGCGGGGUAAUGGCCCACCAUGUCAGCGAUGGGUAGCCGAGCUGAGAGGCUGAUCGGCCACACUGGAACUGAGACACGGUCCAGACUCCUACGGGAGGCAGCAGUGGGGAAUAUUGGGCAAUGGGCGCAAGCCUGACCCAGCAACGCCGCGUGAGGGAAGAAGGCUUUCGGGUUGUAACCUCUGUCCUUGGUGACGAAAAAAUAGACGGUAGCCAAGGAGGAAGCCCCGGCUAACUACGUG